rnacentral:lncRNA from 1 species
AACCACAACUUUCAGUAAGGUACUCCCCGUAGUUAAUUAUGCUGCUAAUUCUAAGUUCUCCUGUCCUCAGUUUCUAGCUCUGGGUCUUUGAGAUUGGAAUGAGAUUUAUCUUCCUAUGUAUAUAUUUGUAAACUGUAAUCUAGUCUUAUGUCAUACUAAGGAGGUGACAUACCUUGAUUCUCUCUCUUUAGGUCAUGUUUUUUAAUCUUUUGAUGAUUAUACAUACCAACUUUUUUUUUUUCUUAUGGUUACAGAAAUUAGAUGUGGUGUUUGUUUUUUUAAAUACUGCAGUAGCUGAUACUAAGUAGUGUCUGUGUUCCUGCUUGAGAUUCCAGUGUUUAUACAUCCACAUUCACAUUCUUUCUGAGAUAAAUAAAAGUUUGGAGCUAUCCAGAUGGUCUAAAACUGCAGGGAGUUCUUUGCCUGACAGCUUGUAUUGUAAGCUUUUAGAUGUUUGCAGCUUACAGCUCUAUGAUCACCUCUAGUGACACUAGAUCAGACCUACUCUGACUCUUGAGCAAUGAACAUAUGGCUGUUACUAUCAGCACCGGUGUAUUUGCAGCGAUGCCUAUCAACAUCCACCAGAGAGCAGGGCAGCUCCAAAACCCACAUCUUUCAUGCUGUGGAAAUUGAUGGAGACAGCAACACAGCCAGCUUCUUGGCCAAACAACAUGGAAUGCAGUUCAUUUCAAAGGAUGGCAGUCACAGUCACAGAAUCAAAGAACCACAGAAAUUGGAAGAGAUCUCUGGAGAUCAUCUAGUCCAAGCCCCUGCUAAAGGAGGAGGUUCCCUAGAGCAGGUUGCAGAGGAAAGUGUCCAGGUAAAUAUCUCCAAAGAAGGAGACUCCACAACCUCUCUGGACAGCCCGUUCCCGAAUUUUGUCACCUUCAGAGUAAAGAAGUUUUUCCUUGUGUUUGUAUGGAACUUCCUGUGUUCCAGUUUGUGCCCACUGGCCCUUAUUCUGUUGCUGAGCACUGUUGAAAAGAGCCUGGCCCCAUCCAUUUGAGUCGUGCCCUUUAGAUGUUUAUAAGCAUUGAUAAGAUCACCUCUCAGUUUUCUCCACGCUGAAGAGUCCCGGGUCUCAGCCUUUAAACCACACAGAGGGCUGAGUGUGGAGAUCCUGCUGCAUGAAAAAAGUAGUUAAUUUCAUAUGUUCAAGCUGACCAAAGAUGUGAUGUUUUCAGUAGCCCUUGGUUAAAUCAGAUGAAAAAACUCACUGUAUUAGGGAAAUUUGCACAGU